UUCCAGCGCUACGCCGAUUGAUCAACUAUAUUCUGUCAGCUUGACACUGGAACACAAUGAUGUUGGCACCAUGGAAGCCCCUAAUCUCUCUGCCACAGUCGGGCUAUUCUACUUCCUGCUUUGUCAGAUGCUGAGAUGCCUGACCUGUUAUAUGGAAGGAUUAUGCACGAGGAGCGAUUCGAAUCCCCCCAGUUUUGAAGACAUUAAGAACUGAUGUUCCAUUGCCCUGGUCAGAUGGCUGGUGGUGAAGGAAAACAAUAAGUACAUGGAAACCAGAAAAAACUAUCUAUUUUAAUACUCUCGCCCGCACGUCCCAUUGCACUACAAAUAAAAUUCGCUUUCUAAUCAGUCCCGACCAGGGUCCGGAAGGAACGCUAUUACAUUACAUUGAACUUGCACCAUGCUUCCGUCAAACCACUGUUGACACUGCAUUUAGCAUAUGUGGAUAAGGAACCAAUAAUGCCAGUCAAGUGGCUGGUAGGGGUAAAAUGCCCACUUGUAGAAAAACAACGAUAACAUUUCCUCAGAUGCUCAGAUGUGGGUAACGGAUUGUGCUUGUUUUCAUCUGGAGGUUUCACAAAUAUUUCCAGAUCAUGAAAUCCAACUGAUUCUUUAAUAAAAUUAUAUGUUGUGCAAAACACGACACCUUUAUUAAAAUCAUCGACUUCAAAUUAAACGUUUAACAGCAUAUAUCACAAAGGAAUGACAUGAAUU